UGCAGUCGAGGGGUAGAGGAAGCUUGCUUCCUUGAGACCGGCGCACGGGUGCGUAACGCGUAUGCAACCUACCUUUUACAGAGGGAUGGCCCAGAGAAAUUUGGAUUAAUACCUCAUGGUAUAUAUCAUUCGCAUGUUUGAUAUAUUAAAGUUCCAACGGUAAAAGAUGGGCAUGCGUCCUAUUAGCUAGAUGGUAAGGUAACGGCUUACCAUGGCAACGAUAGGUAGGGGUCCUGAGAGGGAGAUCCCCCACACUGGUACUGAGACACGGACCAGACUCCUACGGGAGGCAGCAGUGAGGAAUAUUGGACAAUGGGCGCAAGCCUGAUCCAGCCAUGCCGCGUGCAGGAAGAAGCAUCUAUGGUGUGUAAACUGCUUUUGUACGGGAAGAAACACUCCUUCGUGAAGGAGCUUGACGGUACCGUAAGAAUAAGGAUCGGCUAACUCCGUGCCAGCAGCCGCGGUAAUACGGAGGAUCCAAGCGUUAUCCGGAAUCAUUGGGUUUAAAGGGUCCGUAGGCGGUUUGGUAAGUCAGUGGUGAAAGCCCGCAGCUCAACUGUGGAACGGCCAUUGAUACUGCCAGACUUGAAUUACAAGGAAGUAACUAGAAUAUGUAGUGUAGCGGUGAAAUGCUUAGAUAUUACAUGGAAUACCAAUUGCGAAGGCAGGUUACUACUUGUGGAUUGACGCUGAUGGACGAAAGCGUGGGGAGCGAACAGGAUUAGAUACCCUGGUAGUCCACGCCGUAAACGAUGGAUACUAGCUGUUGGGGGCAACUUCAGUGGCUAAGCGAAAGUGAUAAGUAUCCCACCUGGGGAGUACGUUCGCAAGAAUGAAACUCAAAGGAAUUGACGGGGGCCCGCACAAGCGGUGGAGCAUGUGGUUUAAUUCGAUGAUACGCGAGGAACCUUACCAAGGCUUAAAUGUAGAUUGACAGGUUUGGAAACAGACUUUUCUUCGGACAAUUUACAAGGUGCUGCAUGGUUGUCGUCAGCUCGUGCCGUGAGGUGUCAGGUUAAGUCCUAUAACGAGCGCAACCC
rnacentral:rRNA from 1 species